AUGGAGGUGGCCGUCAGCGCAGCAUGGUGGGUGGUGACCAAGGCGCUGGCACCGGUCACAGAUGGCCUGCUGGAGGCGUGGGCGGCCAGCGCCGGGCUUGGCCCCAACAUCGACGCCCUCAAGAUGCAGCUGCUCUACGCCCAGGGCAGGGACAUCACCAACCCUGCGCUCAAGGGGCUGCUGCACAAGCUGCGGCAGCUGGCCUAUGUCGCCGACGACGCGCUCGACGAGCUGGACUACUUCCGCAUCCAGGACGCGCUCGAAGGCACCUACCAUGCAGCAGAAAGCAUGGAUGACCGGUGCUGCCUCCAGGGCCUCGCCCUCAACGCUCGCCACACGGCCAGAGCUGUUGCCGGGAAGAUCAAGUCCAUGUGCUCCUGCUCGCGUGCUGCUAGCCCGACUGAUGACCAAGAAGAUACUGGUGUCAGACGUGGAUGCUCAUGUGUUGGCGGAUGCAGCAUGCCCAAGGUUGCCUCUGGUGCCAUUCAAGCUGCUGUUGGUAAACACUUCACAUGCUGCUACUCUUCUCCUCAUACCAGUGAGUUGUCUGAAUCGUCCAACAUGCCAGCUGCAAGCAGAUGGCGACUCCUGUGCGGCACCUGCCUGCCUAAGGGACCUGCACAGAGAGUUUGCACCACAGAGGAAACACCAAAACUGAAGUUUGAUAGGGUGGAAAUGUCCAAGAGAAUGGUAGACAUCGUAGAUCAGCUCAAGCAUGUAUGUGCUAUGGUCUCCACCAUUCUCAAUCUGGAGCUACUAAGCUUAAGCCGUAUCCCAACCCAAGUUGGUCUUGCUAUGGAUCGGCCGAAAACCACCACGCAAAUUAUAGAGCCUCAGCUAUAUGGAAGGGAUACACAGAAAAAGGAAAUCAUAGACGGCAUCACUCAGGGUGAAUAUUCUUCCAAACAACUUACGGUCCUUCCAAUUGUUGGGCCGGGGGGUGUUGGGAAAACAACCUUUACACAACACAUAUUUGAAGAAGUGAAGAGCUGUUUCCAGGUUACCAUUUGGAUAUGUGUCUCUCUCAACUUCUCUGUAGAUAAGUUGGCACAAGAGAUUUUGGAGCAGAUCCCAAAGAUAACAGUAGUGAAAGCAAGAACAGUAGCAAAGAAGAGCAAAUUGAACGAAGGUUAA
rnacentral:rRNA from 1 species